GACGAACGCUGGCGGCGUGCUUAACACAUGCAAGUCGAACGGAAAGGCCCUGCUUUUGUGGGGUGCUCGAGUGGCGAACGGGUGAGUAACACGUGAGUAACCUGCCCUUGACUUUGGGAUAACUUCAGGAAACUGGGGCUAAUACCGGAUAGGAGCUCCUGCUGCAUGGUGGGGGUUGGAAAGUCUCGGCGGUUGGGGAUGGACUCGCGGCUUAUCAGCUUGUUGGUGGGGUAGUGGCUUACCAAGGCUUUGACGGGUAGCCGGCCUGAGAGGGUGACCGGCCACAUUGGGACUGAGAUACGGCCCAGACUCCUACGGGAGGCAGCAGUGGGGAAUAUUGCACAAUGGGCGGAAGCCUGAUGCAGCAACGCCGCGUGCGUGAUGACGGCCUGCGGGUUGUAAACCGCUUUCGCCUGUGACGAAGCGUGAGUGACGGUAAUGGGUAAAGAAGCACCGGCUAACUACGUG
rnacentral:rRNA from 1 species